rnacentral:lncRNA from 1 species
CGUCCCGGCGGUCGCGAGGAGGUCCCCCGGGCGCGAAGAAGACGCCAGCCCACCCCAGCCGCCGGGGAGAUCGCCCAGGCCGCGCUCAGCCCCGCCCCUGGCUCUGCCCCCGCCGCGGAGCGGAACCCUCCAAGUCGCGGCCUGAGGAGGAAGGAAAAGGGGGCGGCCCGGGAGAGCCGCUGCGAAAUCAGCAACGGGCGGGAACCAGGUUGCCUCCCUGAGUCCCUUCUCUCCCCGGCCGGCUGCCAACCACAGCCAAGGCCAGAGAAACAGGCCCUUCUGCCGCGGCCACCUGGGCGCCUUGGACCCGCCCUCCGGACUCGCCCCCGCCCCUGCCGCGGAGUGGAACGUUUGGAACCCUGAGGGGCACAGCUCCUCUAGCAAUUCCGAUGUGAAAAGAAGAUGGAUGGAGAAGCACUGAUUCAGCCAUGGCUGACAUGUCGGAGUUGGAAUGGACAGUGCCCGGACCUCACAGUCUCAGAGAACUGGAGAAGAGUAAAGCUGAAGAGGGCAUCAUCUGGUUACAAAUGACAAGUCCAGGGCUCCAGCUUCUUCGGCUCCUUGGCCAUGUGUGUACUUUAUGAUGAAGCGCCCAGCUUCUGCAGGAUAUCCAUACUGCCAAGGUCAAAAGCAACAAUAAGCGACGUGGGGCUCAGUCUGUUCUCGUGGGCUACAAUGCAUGCUUCUGGUUUCCAGGUUGUUCUUGCUCUCCCUUAUUUUACAUUUAUCCUUCCUUCCCAACUGCCUGUCCGAUAGAUGUCGAGUCCCAACAUCAGAUGUGAAGAUGAGAGCUUUAUAGAGACUGCUUAACCAGCUCCCACAGUUGUAUUAGGACAAAUCCCUGUAGCAAAUCCCUUUGUGUGUGUGUGUGUGUGUGUGUGUGUGUGUAUGUGUGUGUGUGUGCGCGCGCACGCGCGUGCACGCACCUUAGUGGUUCUCCUGUGAUUGAAUCCUGACUUACACAGUUUGAGAUAGAAACCUUCUGAAGCAAUUAGAUUAAAUGGUCUAUAACUGUGCUGUCCAACAUGGUAGCCAUUAGCUACAUGUGGCUAUUUAAAUUUAAAUUAAUUAAAGUUAAACAUAAUUAGAAUUUAGUACCCCAGUCAAGUUUCAAGUGCUCAAUACUGUGGUCACAUGUGGCUGGUGGCCACUGUUUUGGGCAGCACAGAUAUAGAGCACUUCCGUUAUUGCAAAAAAAUGUUCUAUGAGCACUGGUCUAUAGUGAUAAUUACUAGUAUUUACUGAGUUCUCACCAUGUGUCAGAUGCAGAUUCCAAGUUUGCUCUGGAGAGCACGAUGCGGCAGGCAAACGGGGAAAGAGAGAGAGUGAUGGGAAUCAGGUGGGAGAUUUUUUUUUUUUUUUUUGAGAUGGAGUCUCUCUCACUCUGUCACCCAGGCUGGAGUGCAGUGGCACAAUAUCGGAUCACUGCAACCUCCGCCUCCCAGGUUCAAGUGAUUCUCCUGCCUCAGUCUCCCAAGUAGCCAGGAUUACAGACUUGUACCACCACGCCUGGCUAAGUUUUGUAUUUUUAGUAGAGACAGGGUUUCACCAUGUUGGCCAGGCUGGUCUCGAACCCCUGACCUCAGGUGAUCCACCCUCCUUGACCUUCCAAAGUGCUGAGAUUACAGGUGUGAGCCAUUGCACCUGGCCAGGUGGGAGAUUUUUAAUGACCAGGCCUGGAGGUGGCACACAUCACUUAUACCCACAUCCAUUGGCCAGCACUCAGUUACACGGCCACUUCUAACUACAAGGGAGGUUGGGAAAUGUAGCCUAGCUGUGUGCUGAGGAAGAAAAAGUAAAAGCUUUGGUGCCAGCCAGUCUCUGCCACAUCAGAUUUAAUUUGAGCGCUGUGAAGUAAUUAAUGCCCAUUAAACUAAGGGUGGGACAAGAUUAAUGCUAAAAUCACUCUCCCCAGCCACCAUUUUCUCUCUUGUUCUUUGUCAUGAUAUUGACAAGGUCAAAAGUCAGGCAGUCAGCAUGAACCCGAGGAGGAGAAGUCCUUGCCACUUUGAGGCUGAAUAUGAACAGCCCCUUCUUUAUGACUCACCCUAUCAGCUUUGCUCCUAGCGAAUGUUCAUAUCGUGGUUCUCCGGGACCCUUGAAAGUGGGACUCCUAUGUGAGGAACUAGUUCUAUAAACAACUACAUGCUAGUAAAAAACCAUUAAGAGGGUUGGAAUUAGGCAUAGUCCUGCUGCAUAGAAAUCCUACUUAGUUGGAAAAAUUGUAUUUUUAAGUUGCCUCUGUUUUGAAGCCACGUUAACCCUUAACCUUCAGAAAAUCCUUAGCCAGCCUUUAUACAUUGGUAGCUCCUGUUCUAAUAAUGUCUUCUCCUCCUAUUUUCUUUGGCUUGUCAUGAGCUUUGAAAGUUUGAUCUGAGAUCCCUCACUUUUAAUAAUCUGUAACUCUGAUUUGGUAAUCUCCUACAUAUGAAUAAAAUGUCUGUGUUCAUUUAUUUCUAAUGAAUAAAUGAACAUGCCUGCUGAGCCAAGCCUUAAAUGUGAUUAAGGAGACUGACUUGGGUUCAGAUCCUGGCUCUGCCUUGAGUAAGUUUCUAACAUUCCUCUGCUUGUAUUUCCUUAUCUGUAAAAUGGGAGUGAUUUCUUUGAAUGAAAUUAUAUUACAUUUAUCAAGCAUUUUAUCACAGUUUCAACAAUAAGGUGUAAUUAUUAUUAAUUCAGACUAUAUGAUUCUGUGCCCUUGGAUAAAGUUUACCAUUAUAUAAUAAACUACUUUUCUCACUUAA